rnacentral:rRNA from 1 species
AGAGCGAACGCUGGCGGCAGGCCUAACACAUGCAAGUCGAGCGCCCCGCAAGGGGAGCGGCAGACGGGAGAGUAACACGUGGGAACGUACCCUUUGGUUUGGAACAACACAGGGAAACUUGUGCUAAUACCGGAUAAGCCCUUACGGGGAAAGAUUUAUUGCCAAAGGAUCGGCCCGCGUCUGAUUAGCUUGUUGGUGAGGUAACGGCUCACCAAGGCUACGAUCAGUAGCUGGUCUGAGAGGAUGAUCAGCCUCACUGGGACUGAGACACGGCCCAGACUCCUACGGGAGGCAGCAGUGGGGAAUAUUGGACAAUGGGCGCAAGCCUGAUCCAGCCAUGCCGCGUGGAUGAUGAAGGCCCUAGGGUUGUAAAGUCCUUUCGACGGGGAAGAUAAUGACGGUACCCGUAGAAGAAGCCCCGGCUAACUUCGCGCCAGCAGCCGC